UACGAACUGUGCGAACGUUAUUCGGAAUCACUGGGCUUACAGGGUGCGUAGGCGGCCGAACAAGUCAGGUGUGAAGGCCCUCGGCUCAACCGAGGAACUGCGCUUGAAACUGUUUGGCUCGAGUCAACUAGAGGUGCACGGAACUUCCAGUGGAGCGGUGAAAUGUGUUGAUAUUGGAAGGAACACCGGAGGCGAAAGCGGUGCACUGGGGUUGGUCUGACGCUGAGGCACGAAAGCCAGGGGAGCGAACGGG
rnacentral:rRNA from 1 species